AGCGAACGCUGGCGGCAGGCUUAACACAUGCAAGUCGAGCGGGCACCUUCGGGUGUCAGCGGCAGACGGGUGAGUAACACGUGGGAACGUACCCUUCGGUUCGGAAUAACGCUGGGAAACUAGCGCUAAUACCGGAUACGCCCUUAUGGGGAAAGGUUUACUGCCGAAGGAUCGGCCCGCGUUUGAUUAGUUAGUUGGUGGGGUAACGGCCUACCAAGGCGACGAUCAGUAGCUGGUCUGAGAGGAUGAUCAGCCACACUGGGACUGAGACACGGCCCAGACUCCUACGGGAGGCAGCAGUGGGGGAUAUUGGACAAUGGGCGCAAGCCUGAUCCAGCCAUGCCGCGUGAGUGAUGAAGGCCUUAGGGUUGUAAAGCUCUUUUGUCCGGGACGAUAAUGACGGUACCGGAAGAAUAAGCCCCGGCUAACUUCGUG
rnacentral:rRNA from 1 species